CGACUACAUGAAGCUGGAAUCGCUAGUAAUCGCGAAUCAGAAUGUCGCGGUGAAUACGUUCCCGGGUCUUGUACACACCGCCCGUCACACCAUGGGAGUCGGGAAUGCCCGAAGUCAGUGACCCAACCGGAAGGAGGGAGCUGCCGAAGGCAGGCUCGAUAACUGGGGUGAAGUCGUAACAAGGUAAC
rnacentral:rRNA from 1 species